rnacentral:rRNA from 1 species
AGCAGCCGCGGUAAUUCCAGCUCCAAUAGCGUAUAUUAAAGUUGUUGCAGUUAAAAAGCUCGUAGUUGAAUUUCGGGAUUCUACCGUCGGUCGGGCUAACAAGUCUGUACUGGUGUGUAGAAUUUCUACCUUCUGGGGAACUAUCAUGUUAUNAAUUUAGCGUGGUGGGAAACCAGGACCUUUACCUUGAAAAAAUUAGAGUGUUCAAAGCAGGCUUACGUCUGAAUACAUNAGCAUGGAAUAAUAGAAUAGGACGGUGGUCCUGUUUUGUUGGUUUCUGAAUCACCGUAAUGAUUAAUAGGGAUAGUUGGGGGCAUUAGUAUUCAAUUGUCAGAGGUGAAAUUCUUGGAUUUAUUGAAGACUAACUUCUGCGAAAGCAUUUGCCAAGGAUGUUUUCAUUAAUCAAGAACGAAAGUUAGGGGAUCGAAGACGAUCAGAUACCGUCGUAGUCUUAACCAUAAACUAUGCCGACUAGGGAUCGGACGAUGUUAAAUUUUAUUGACUCG